ACACAGCUUAUUUCUCUCCUUCAGUGUCAUUUAAUAUUGUUCGAUCAAUCUUACCAAACAUACCAUCAGAUAUUUAUGGUCUAUCCUAUUUUAUUAUUGAGUGGGUUAAAUUUCAAAAUCCAUGAAGAUAAGCAAUUGAGUGGACGUUGGAAAAAGAAGGGUGCAAUUUGGCUAGGUUUAAAGCCAGGGUCAAAUCCAGGGCCCAGCAUUUAGUUUUAUUCUCAUAGAAUUUUCAAGGUGGAGGGAGGAUGUCGAAUCACAAGAAUUUUAAAAGUCAAAAUUAGCGGCCAGUCCUGUCUUCAUCAAAGAUAUUUUCUAUUCCAUCUCAUGGUAAUUUCCAAGAAAUUAACUCAUUCAUAAAGUCUACUAUCUUGUUUCUAUACAGACGAACAAAGUGAGGAAUGUUUUGGAUAAAAAAAAGCUUUUGAGAUAAAAAUCUAAGCAGUAGCAGAUCAUGUCGGCCUUGAGCAUUUCUGCGUAUUUUUUGUUGUUUUGCUUUCUCUGUUUCUUUAGCACGAGAAAGGUUAGUAGCUCCCGAAAUUUUAUUUUUCACUUCUGUCGAAAUACAACUACGUAUAGUUCAAAUAGCACCUACCAGUCCAACUUGAAUCAACUUCUCUUUACUUUAUCCUCAAAUGCUACCCAGGAGAAUGGAUACUAUAACUACACUAUUGGCCACAGCCCUCCGGACACAAUCUAUGGGUUUUCUUUCUAUGCAGAGGUGAUGUUAACACCGACGUCUGUGAGAAAUGUGUGGAAAAUGCUACAACUAUAAUCUUCCGAU
rnacentral:lncRNA from 1 species